GGGNUUUGCGCAUGGGGGNAANCCCUGNCGCACAACGCCGCGUGGAGGAUGAAGGCCCUUGGGUCGUAAACUCCUUUCGACCGGGAAAAUGAUGAUGGUACCGGUGGAAGAACGCACCGGCAUAACUCUGUGCCAGCAGCCGCGGUAAUACAGAGGGUGCGACGCUGUUGUUCGCGAAUUAUUGGGCGUAAAGGGCGCGUAGGCGGUGCGGUAAGUCACCUGUGAAAUCCCCAGGCUUAACUUGGGGUCUGCANGCGAAACUACCGUGCUGGAGGGUGGGAGAGGUGCGUGGAAUUCCCGGUGUANCGGUGAAAUGCGUAGAUAUCGGGAGGAACACCUGUGGCGAAAGCGGCGCACUGGACCACUUCUGACGCUGAGGCGCGAAAGCCGGGGGAGCAAACAGGAUUANAUACCCUGGUAGUCCCGGNCCUAAACNAUGAUUGCUUGGUGUGAUCGGUACCCAAUCCGAUUGUGCCGCANNUAACGCGAUAAGCAAUCCGCCUGGGGAGUACCNGUCGCAAGGCUGAAACUCAAAAGAAUUGACGGA
rnacentral:rRNA from 1 species